rnacentral:RNase_P_RNA from 1 species
CAGCCGGACCGGACGGUCGCUGACGCCUUCACCGGCGGCAGAGGAAAGUCCGAACUCCGCAGAGCAGUGUGCCGGAUAACGUCCGGGAGGUCCGGUUCAAGCCGGGCCGACGGAAAGUGCCACAGAAAACAUACCGCUUGCGAGCCCUGUGGGUUAGUCCGCGGGGUCCCCAUCGUGCCGUCUUUGCGCGAUGGGGUGCAAGUAAGGGUGAAAAGGUGCGGUAAGAGCGCACCGCCUGUUUAGUAAUAAACGGGGCAGGGCAAACCCCACACGGAGCAAGACCAAAUAGGGGACCAGUCCGGGAGCGAUCCCGGCACGCGCUGGCUCGGCGCGGAUGAGUUCCGGGUAGGUCGCUAGAGCCGCACAGUAAUGCGCGGCCCAGAGGAAUGACCGUCCCACCCGCAAGGGCGGACAAAAUUCGGCUUACAGGUCCGGUUGCCUC